CGGUAAUACGUAGGGUGCGAGCGUUAAUCGGAAUUACUGGGCGUAAAGCGUGCGCAGGUGGUUUUGUAAGUCAGAUGUGAAAUCCCCGGGCUCAACCUGGGAACUGCGUUUGAAACUACAAGGCUAGAGUGUGGCAGAGGGGGGUGGAAUUCCGCGUGUAGCAGUGAAAUGCGUAGAGAUGUGGAGGAACACCGAUGGCGAAGGCAGCCCCCUGGGUCAACACUGACGCUCAGGCACGAAAGCAUGGGGAGCAAACAGGAUUAGAUACCCUGGUAGUCCAUGCCCUAAACGAUGUCAACUAGUUGUCGGGCCUUAACGGGCUUGGUAACGUAGCUAACGCGUGAAGUUGACCGCCUGGGGAGUACGAUCGCAAGAUUAAAACUCAAAGGAAUUGACGGGGACCCGCACAAGCGGUGGAUUAUGUGGAUUAAUUCGAUGCAACGCGAAAAACCUUACCUACCCUUGACAUGUAUCGAAGCCCGCAGAAAAGCGGGGGUGCCCGAAAGGGAACGAUAACACAGGUGCUGCAUGGCUGUCGUCAGCUCGUGUCGUGAGAUGUUGGGUUAAGUCCCGCAACGAGCGCAACCCUUGUCAUUAAUUGCCAUCAUUUAGUUGGGCACUUUAAUGAGACUGCCGGUGACAAACCGGAGGAAGGUGGGGGAUGACGUCAAGUCCUCAUGGCCCUUAUGGGUAGGGCUUCACACGUAAUACAAUGGCGCGUACAGAGGGUUGCCAACCCGCGAGGGGGAGCUAAUCUCAGAAAGCGCGUCGUAGUCCGGAUCGGAGUCUGCAACUCGACUCCGUGAAGUCGGAAUCGCUAGUAAUCGCGGAUCAGCAUGUCGCGGUGAAUACGUUCCCGGG
rnacentral:rRNA from 1 species